rnacentral:misc_RNA from 1 species
GAUGAAGAACGCAGCGAAAUGCGAUAAGUAGUGUGAAUUGCAGAAUUCAGUGAAUCAUCGAAUAUUUGAACGCACAUUGCGCCCUUUGGUAUUCCUUAGGGCAUGCCUGUUCGAGCGUCAUUUAAACCUUCAAGCUCAGCUUGGUGUUGGGUGACUGUCCGCUUCACCGCGGACUCGCCUCAAAAUUAUUGGCGGCCGGUACAUUGGCUUCGAGCGCAGCAGAAACGCGAACUCGGGCCCGUCGUAUUGGCUCCCAGAAGCUAUCUUCACAAUUUUGACCUCGGAUCAGGUAGGGAUACCCGCUGAACUUAAGCAUAUCAAUAAGCGGAGG